GAUCGGCCACAUUGGGACUGAGACACGACCCAAACUCUUACGGGAGGCAGCAGUAGGGAAUCUUCGGCAAUGGACGAAAGUCUGACCGAGCAACGCCGCGUGAGUGAAGAAGGUUUUCGGAUCGUAAAACUCUGUUGUUAGAGAAGAACAAGGAUGAGAGUAGAAUGUUCAUCCCUUGACGGUAUCUAACCAGAAAGCCACGGCUAACUACGUGCCAGCAGCCGCGGUAAUACGUAGGUGGCAAGCGUUGUCCGGAUUUAUUGGGCGUAAAGCGAGCGCAGGCGGUUUCUUAAGUCUGAUGUGAAAGCCCCCGGCUCAACCGGGGAGGGUCAUUGGAAACUGGGAAACUUGAGUGCAGAAGAGGAGAGUGGAAUUCCAUGUGUAGCGGUGAAAUGCGUAGAUAUAUGGAGGAACACCAGUGGCGAAGGCGGCUCUCUGGUCUGUAACUGACGCUGAGGCUCGAAAGCGUGGGGAGCAAACAGGAUUAGAUACCCUGGUAGUCCACGCCGUAAACGAUGAGUGCUAAGUGUUGGAGGGUUUCCGCCCUUCAGUGCUGCAGCUAACGCAUUAAGCACUCCGCCUGGGGAGUACGACCGCAAGGUUGAAACUCAAAGGAAUUGACGGGGGCCCGCACAAGCGGUGGAAGCAUGUGGUUUAAUUCGAAGCAACGCGAAGAACCCUUACCAGGUCUUGACAUCCUUUGACCACUCUAGAGAU
rnacentral:rRNA from 1 species